ensembl:snRNA U7 U7 small nuclear RNA
AAGUGUUAGAGCUCUUCUAGAAUUUGUCUAGCAGGUUCCCUGGUUUUUAAUGAAACCAAA